rnacentral:tRNA from 2 species
GGAGGGAUGCCGGAGUGGUUGAACGGGGCGGUCUCGAAAACCGUUGUGCGCUUGCCGUACCGAGGGUUCGAAUCCCUCUCCCUCCGCCA